rnacentral:rRNA from 1 species
CCUACGGGGGGCUGCAGUGGGGAAUUUUCCGCAAUGGGCGAAAGCCUGACGGAGCAAUACCGCGUGAGGGAGGAAGGCUCUUGGGUUGUAAACCUCUUUUCUCAGGGAAUAAGUACUGAAGGUACCUGAGGAAUCAGCAUCGGCUAACUCCGUGCCAGCAGCCGCGGUAAUACGGAGGAUGCAAGCGUUAUCCGGAAUGAUUGGGCGUAAAGCGUCCGCAGGUGGUUUUUCAAGUCUGCUGUCAAAGAGUCUGGCUCAACCAGAUAAAGGCAGUG